CCUACGGGUGGCAGCAGUGGGGAAUAUUGGGCAAUGGACGCAAGCCUGACCCAGCAACGCCGCGUGAAGGAAGAAGGCUUUCGGGUUGUAAAGUUCUUUUAUCAGGGACGAAGGAAAUGACGGUACCCAAGGAAUAAGCCACGGCUAACUACGUGCCAGCAGCCGCGGUAAUACGUAGGGGGCAAGCGUGAUCCGGAUGUACUGGGGGUAAAGGUGGUGUAGGCGGGGAAGCAAGUAAGAGGUGAAAACCAUGGGCUUAACCCGGGGACUGGUUUUGAAACUGCUUUUCUUGAGUGCAGGAGAGGAAAGCGGAAUUCCUAGUGUAGCGGUGAAAUGCGUAGAUAUUAGGAGGAACACCAGUGGCGAAGGCGGCUUGCUGGACUGUAACUGACGCUGAGGCGCGAAAGCGUGGGGAGCAAACAGGAUUAGAUACCCCAGUAGUC
rnacentral:rRNA from 1 species